CUGUAUACUGCAAAGCGAAUGAUUGAGCGAUGUUGACGUCAUCGUUCAGGUACUGAGUGUGUUAAAAUGAUUACGCAGUUGCGUAGUGGUGAAGUGGCACAAAGUACUGCAGUUGAUGACGUAUGUGGUUGCUUGAUGAUCAGGCGGUAGUGCGAUAUCUUGUCGAAAAGGAUCUUCGAAAGGAGCAUCCUGGAGCAAUGUGUCGUGAUCUGUGCUUAUAGUGCAGUUGCUACCGUUCGUUCAUUGUUGUAAACUGCCUCGAGCUAGGUGCGCUGCUUGUAUGUACUGUUCACUGAGUGAGCAUGUACUGUGACUGUUUGUACGUUCGAAGGUUCAUGGAGAGCAACAAGAUUUGCUAAGAAUCAUUCGAACCGUCUUGAAACACGGACUAAGGAGUUCAACUCGAACGCAAGUCAUUUCUUAUGACAAAAUUAAAAGGCUAAGUGAAAACAACUCUAAAUGAGAUGCGAACAAAUGCAUGAGCGCAGAUGAUAAGCACAAGUGAUGAGUGGCACAGUUGUAAUUGUUGCUUACUGCACCUGAGCGUUCAGGUUGAGACCCGAAAGAUGGUGAACUAUGCCUGAGUAGAAUGAAGCCAGGGGAAACUCUGGUGGAGGUUCGUAGCGGUUUUGACGUGCAAAUCAAUCGCCAAA
rnacentral:rRNA from 1 species